AGAACGAACGCUGGCGGCAGGCCUAACACAUGCAAGUCGAACGCUCGUAGCAAUACGGGAGUGGCAGACGGGUGAGUAACGCGUGGGAACGUACCUUUCGGUUCGGAAUAACCCGGGGAAACUCGGGCUAAUACCGGAUACGUCCUGCCCCUUAAACAAGGGUGGGAGAAAGAUUUAUCGCCGAAAGAUCGGCCCGCGUCGGAUUAGCUAGUUGGUGAGGUAACGCCCACCAAGGCGACGAUCCGUAGCUGGUCUGAGAGGAUGAUCAGCCACACUGGGACUGAGACACGGCCCAGACUCCUACGGGAGGCAGCAGUGGGGAAUAUUGGACAAUGGGCGAAAGCCUGAUCCAGCCAUGCCGCGUGAGUGAAGAAGGCCUUAGGGUUGUAAAGCUCUUUCAGCGGGAAGAUAAUGACGGUACCCGCAGAAGAAGUCCCGGCUAACUCGUGCCAGCAGCCGC
rnacentral:rRNA from 1 species